rnacentral:rRNA from 1 species
CCUACGGGCGGCAGCAGUGGGGAAUAUUGCGCAAUGGGCGAAAGCCUGACGCAGCGACGCCGCGUGAGGGAUGAAGGUCUUCGGAUCGUAAACCUCUGUCAGCAGGGAAGAACGGUCACUGUGCUAAUCAGCAGUGAUUUGACGGUACCUGCAAAGGAAGCACCGAAUAACUCUGUGCCAGCAGCCGCGGUAAUACGGAGGGUGCGAGCGUUAAUCGGAAUGACUGGGCGUAAAGCGCUCGUAGGCGGUAUGUCAAGUCAAGGGUGAAAUCCCCGCGCUCAACGUGGGAACUGCCUUUGAAACUGGCAAACUGGAGUGUGUGAGAGGAUAGUGGAAUUCCAGGUGUAGGAGUGAAAUCCGUAGAUAUCUGGAGGAACAUCAGUGGCGAAGGCGACUAUCUGGCACAUAACUGACGCUGAGGAGCGAAAGCGUGGGUAGCAAACAGGAUUAGAUACCCCAGUAGUC